AAGUCGUAACAAGGUUUCCGUAGGUGAACCUGCGGAAGGAUCAUUAACACUUUUAUUAACACUAUUAAAACUUCUGUGCACUUUGUUUUUAUUAUUGAAAACAAAUCGCCCAGAUGAGUCUUUCGAGAUUCAUUUGUGCGUAAAAAGCAUACGAAAGAAAGUGGAAGCGUAAUAGUUUCUUCUUUGUUUUUUAUGCUUUUCUAUUUUCUUUUUAAACACCUUAUAUACAAUCUUUUAACAUCGUUUUACAUUUCAAUCGAGAUGUAAUCCAACUGUUAAUACUAAACACAAGUCUUACCAGCGGAUAUCUCGGUUCCC
rnacentral:misc_RNA from 1 species